GGAAGGGAAUCGUGCCUGGUGGCACGGCCGGAUUUCAAAUCCGGUUGGGGGCGUCAGCCGCUCCCGGGUGGGUUCGACUCCCGCUCCCUUCCGCCA
rnacentral:tRNA from 4 species